AUGCAGAGGUGCCUACUCAAGCUCUGGGGGAUGUUAGAUGAGAGCAAUGAUGAUAGGCAAGCAAAGGAUGAAGAGAUAAGCAAGCCUAAAAUGGAUAAUGAACAAGUGAACCUUAAGCUCGAGAAUCUUGUUGCAGCUGUGGAAAGAACUAAUGUAACUACCAUGAAGAUUGACAGGCAGAAGAAGCAGAUGGGUAUCGUUGAUAAAGACGUCAAGCUCAUUCAGAGGUCUCUCACAAGUGCCAUUCAUAAUGUUAAGGACGACAAGGGUGCAUAA
rnacentral:rRNA from 1 species